CGAGUUGUAAACUUGCUAAAUCCAUUCUAAGUUUCUAAUUCAACAGAAAUAGAAGCAUACAGUGUGCUUGCUUCCUUCCUUUGGCUAAUAGAAGGCAAUGGAGCUGAUCGAAUUCAGUGAUACAUUCUUAGAGCCUGUUACCAUUGGCUCACAUACUUUCAAGCAAGCAAAUGCAUGUAGUGAUGAUACAGAUUGAAAAU
rnacentral:misc_RNA from 1 species